GACAGUUGGAAUAAAGAGGCGGUUGGUCAGGGGAGUGCUGUGGUGACAGUGUGCAGCAUGUGAGGGAGCCGCGCUGGGAGAGACAGCAGUGCUGACAGGCUUCCCUGGCACUGAGGACCGGAUGACUGCAAACCCGUAUAAAUUACAUGUCUCAGGCCAGACCCCGGCAGCUGCUCAGGAUAAAGCGGGGAAGUGCUGUUUCGCAGCGGUGAUCCCAGCAGUGUCAGCAGGGACUGAAAAGUGGGCUCUGGUACUUCAUCCCAACUCUGCUAAGACGGCCCAGAGGGGUGACCUAGCCUUGAGUGACAGCAGUAGGCGGAGACACGCAAUAGACCCCAGCAUCCAGAUGCAAAGCAAGGUGGGCUGUGAGGACAGGACCAGAUCCCCAAAUAAGCCUAGGUGCUGUAUUCUUUUUGAUUGUGGAGCAACGGAUCGGAGAAGCCUGCAAGCCUACCGCUGUUACUUACACCGGACCAGUCUGCCGGCAGACACCCACAUCCUCUGGACUAGUGAGGCGCAAGCCCCCAGUACGGGAAACAUGUUUCAGAUGUUGCAGUUGGAGAUCCCACAAGUUUUGGUGGGAUUAUUGACACAAUGCGCCAACACCUGCAUGGAUUAAUGACUUGUCUCGAUCAAUUGCAAAAAUUU